rnacentral:rRNA from 1 species
AGUGAACGCUGGCGGUAGGCUUAACACAUGCAAGUCGAACGGCAGCACAGUAAGUGCUUGCUCUUACGGGUGGCGAGUGGCGGACGGGUGAGGAAUACAUCGGAAUCUAUAUUUUCGUGGGGGCUAACGUAGGGAAACUUACGCUAAUACCGCAUACGACCUACGGGUGAAAGCAUGGGAUAUUCGGAUCUUGCGGGAAUGAAUGAGCCGAUGUCGGAUUAGUUAGUUGGCGGGGUAAAGGCCCACCAAGUCGACGAUCCGUAGCUGGUCUGAGAGGAGGAUCAGCCACACUGGAACUGAGACACGGUCCAGACUCCUACGGGAGGCAGCAGUGGGGAAUAUUGGACAAUGGGCGCAAGCCUGAUCCAGCCAUACCGCGUGGGUGAAGAAGGCCUUCGGGUUGUAAAGCCCUUUUGUUGGGAAAGAAAAGCAGCAGGUUAAUACCCCGCUGUUCUGACGGUACCCAAAGAAUAAGCACCGGCUAACUUCGUG